CAAUAGCGUAUAUUAAAGUUGUUGCGGUUAAAAAGCUCGUAGUUGGAUUUCUGCUGAGGACGAUCGGUCCGCCCUCUGGGUGAGUAUCUGGCUCGGCCUUGGCAUCUUCUUGGAGAACGUUACUGCACUUGACUGUGUGGUGCGGUAUCCAGGACUUUUACUUUGAGGAAAUUAGAGUGUUUCAAGCAGGCGCACGCCUUGAAUACAUUAGCAUGGAAUAAUAAGAUAGGACCUUGGUUCUAUUUUGUUGGUUUCUAGAGCUGAGGUAAUGAUUAAUAGGGAUAGUUGGGGGCAUUCGUAUUUAACUGUCAGAGGUGAAUUUCUUGGAUUUGUUAAAGACGGACUACUGCGAAAGCAUUUGCCAAGGAUGUUUUCAUUGA
rnacentral:rRNA from 1 species